CAUGCACGGAAACUUCCGGCCGCGCUCCGAUGCUUUUUGUCCCCGCGGAGCCGCCGUGGUCGGUCGCGGUGCGCGGAGUCGUCAUGGAGUCGGAGGGUCCCUCUGAGCCGGGUUUCGUCGGGAUCCGCUUCUGCCAGGAGUGCAACAACAUGCUGUACCCCAAGGAGGACAAGGAGAGCCGUGUGCUGCUUUACGCGUGCCGCAAUUGCGACUACCAGCAGGAGGCCGACAGCAGCUGCAUCUACGUCAACAAGAUCACGCAUGAAGUGGAGUGAGUGCGGACCCCCUUGGGACCCACCCCCGGCACCCCUUCCUCCUGAUUCCAACCCACAGAGCCGUCCACUGCCAUCCCCUCCUUCGUCCCCCCGACAAGACAGCCCCUAUGAUCCUCCCACCUUGGCACAUUGGCCGUCCCUGUUCUGGUGAGCUCACGCAGAUCAUUGCUGAUGUCUCCCAGGACCCUACGCUGCCGCGCACUGAGGACCACCCCUGCCAGAAGUGGGGAGGACUUGGGGAUCCCUGUGGGGACCAGGAGCCCCUGCAGGGAUGUGAGGGGCUUCCAGGGGGCCGAGAGAUGUCCUCAGCCUUGCUGCUUUCCCCCUGGGCUCCAACUUUACCAGUGUCGGGGGCAUGGUAUCCCUGCCACGUUCCUGCUGCAGGGCUCUGCUAUAUGCUGUCCAUCACCAGUACUCUCCUCACAGCUCCUUUACUUCCCUAUGGGGUUAUUUAACAUCCCCUCCUGUGGUUCCUGCCCCACGCAGGGGCUCCACGUCCCUCCUGUGUUACUGCUUUCCUUUCUCUCCCCCAGGUGUGGGCACAAGGAAGCUGUUCUCUUCCAGUCGCACAGUGCAAGAGCUGAGGAUGCCAUGAGGCUCUACUAUGUCUGCACAGCCCCGCACUGUGGCCA